CCUACGGGAGGCAGCAGUGAGGAAUAUUGGACAAUGGGCGCAAGCCUGAUCCAGCCAUGCCGCGUGCAGGAAGACGGUCCUAUGGAUUGUAAACUGCUUUUAUACAGGAAGAAACACCUCUACGUGUAGAGACUUGACGGUACUGUAUGAAUAAGCAUCGGCUAACUCCGUGCCAGCAGCCGCGGUAAUACGGAGGAUGCAAGCGUUAUCCGGAAUCAUUGGGUUUAAAGGGUCCGUAGGCGGUUUAAUAAGUCAGUGGUGAAAGCCCAUCGCUCAACGAUGGAACGGCCAUUGAUACUGUUAAACUUGAAUUAUUAGGAAGUAACUAGAAUAUGUAGUGUAGCGGUGAAAUGCUUAGAGAUUACAUGGAAUACCAAUUGCGAAGGCAGGUUACUACUAAUAUAUUGACGCUGAUGGACGAAAGCGUGGGGAGCGAACAGGAUUAGAUACCCUGGUAGUCCACGCCGUAAACGAUGGAUACUAGCUGUUCGGAGCAAUCUGAGUGGCUAAGCGAAAGUGAUAAGUAUCCACCUGGGGAGUACGUUCGCAGAAUGAAACCUNAAGUGAUGACGNGUGAGAGNGCGAGGACGACGACGAGGGAGGAGG
rnacentral:rRNA from 1 species